CCUACGGGAGGCAGCAGUGAGGAAUAUUGGUCAAUGGCCGGAAGGCUGAACCAGCCAAGCCGCGUGAAGGACGAAGGUGCCAAGCAUUGUAAACUUCUUUUGUCAAGGGACAAAAUCAGGCACGAGAGCCUGACCGAGGGUACUUGAAGAAAAAGCAUCGGCUAACUCCGUGCCGGCAGCCGCGGUAAUACGGAGGAUGCGAGCGUUAUCCGGAUUUAUUGGGUUUAAAGGGUGCGUAGGCGGGCUGUUAAGUCAGCGGUAAAAGCCCGGGGCUCAACCCCGGCGAGCCGUUGAAACUGGCGGUCUUGAGAUGUCGAGAGGUAUGCGGAAUGCGCGGUGUAGCGGUGAAAUGCUUAGAUAUUGCGCAGAACUCCGAUUGCGAAGGCAGCAUACCGGCGGCGAACUGACGCUGAGGCACGAAAGCGUGGGUAUCGAACAGGAUUAGAUACCCGGGUAGUC
rnacentral:rRNA from 1 species